CCUACGGGAGGCAGCAGUGGGGAAUAUUGGGCAAUGGACGCAAGUCUGACCCAGCAACGCCGCGUGAAGGAAGAAGGCUUUCGGGUUGUAAACUUCUUUUAAGGGGGAAGAGCAGAAGACGGUACCCCUUGAAUAAGCCACGGCUAACUACGUGCCAGCAGCCGCGGUAAUACGUAGGGGGCAAGCGUUAUCCGGAUUUACUGGGUGUAAAGGGAGCGCAGACGGCAGUGCAAGUCUGGAGUGAAAGCCCUGGGCCCAACCCCGGAACUGCUCUGGAAACUGUGCGGCUAGAGUACUGGAGGGGCAGGCGGAAUUCCUAGUGUAGCGGUGAAAUGCGUAGAUAUUAGGAGGAACACCAGUGGCGAAGGCGGCCUGCUGGACAGUAACUGACGUUGAGGCUCGAAAGCGUGGGGAGCAAACAGGAUUAGAUACCCCAGUAGUC
rnacentral:rRNA from 1 species